rnacentral:lncRNA from 1 species
GCAGCAAGUUGUCGUAGUCCCCUGUUAUCUUUUGUUUUAUUUUUGUUUCCUGCAAGUGGAGCUUGGCGCCAUUAAACAAUUAUGGUUUCAUUAGCCCAUGUAAUCGUUUGCUACUUUUAGAAAUUCCGCUUUCUGGUUCUACUUGGUAUUUGCUCAUGAAAUUGACUCGCGGGGUGUGUCUUCCUGUCCUCGUGUGUUAUACUUUGUGUUGCCGGGGACUCGCAUGCUAC